CCAGAGACUUUUAAUUGCCUUUUGGGUGGCGGGGAGCAGUUUCCUUCUAACACAGCCUCAGUUUUCUGUGUAUACUGCCAGAGUAGCCUGCUGGCUUCAGUUCUCCUGGAUUUCUUGGGCAGCCGUUCAGCUCAUGUCUACUCUGUUUUCAUUGCAGAUACUAUGUGCAAGUCCCCCUGGUGGUCACUUUGAAAUCCAGAGUCUUCAGACUUUAGGCAAAGAAACUGAAACUGACAUUCGAUUCUUGACCUCAGGGCACAAAAAGGAUUGGAAGAUGCGGGUCCUUUCAUUGCUGUAUCUGGGCUACAAGAAUCAAAGAGCAAAAGGGAUGUUUUCCUCUGAGAACUGGCAGCACACAGAAGGAAGGAAAUGCCUAUUCCAAUUCAAGCAUGUUUUAAUCUCUGCAGAAGUUUCUUACCCAUGUGUAAGGGAAUAAAGAAUAUCAUCUUGCACCAGUAAAC
rnacentral:lncRNA from 1 species